CGGCCGACAUGGAAUCGCGAUGGCGAUCUGCUCUCUCGUUGCGACGUUGGCGUUCGCAUUCACGCUUGUUGGCCGACGUCGGGCUAGCUCCUCCUCUGUCGGUGGUACACGCUUUCCCAAAGAAGUAAAAAUGCGGUUUUCGGGUAUGUUUUCGGCCUUUCUUUCGUACUCGAAACGGCGACCGAAAAUGUGUACGAGAUACAAAGACUUUUCGGACGAUAGCCCGAAGCCGACCCGAACGCCGCCGAAUGUUUGAUUUUCGGCGUUUAAAACCGGUUUUUCGGUGCGGCAGACGUGGUCGGACCACAAAAGAAAAAAACAGCUCUUCCCCCUCUUCUGCCCUCGACAAAAAUAUAUAUUUUGCUGCUCUCACGCUUGCUCUCGCUAUCGCUUUUUCCAUGUACACCAUUGUUCACAUUUUUAAUUCGCUCGCUCUCAUGCAGGUGUACGCGUCAUUCUGUUUAACGCGCCUUUUCUUGUUCGUACUUGUUCUGGUGAAGUUGUCAUCCUCAGUGUUUUUUUCCGGUGCGUGUUUUUCUAUGGAAAUUUAGGAAGAAAGUUUUGGAUUAGAAGUUGAUUAUAUACAAUUCAAGUGUUACCUGUUCUGAAUCCUCCGCGUUACCCGUUGAGCUAUUGCAGCCUUGGUAUCGUGCUCCGUUACGAGAAAGGUUUUAUGAAGUGUAUUGUCAAUUUGUUUGUUGCAGCAAAAUGUUUAACCAGACCGGUGCGCAAGAAGAAGAGCGAGCAGAGCAAAACUCUAGUGCACUGAACAACCGAAAAAGUACAUCUCCGCAGUCUCCGAAAUGUUCUUGAAGAUCAGUGAUGCACUGGGAAGGUUAUUAAUCCCGCGCCAUAAUUAAACAUUUUAAGCGUUUUGGAAUUGCCACCCCUUGCUCCGCUUCAUUAUUCCCCUCCGCAAACGCCUACCAACUCUGGUGGUAUGUUUACGCAAGCGCUACGAAACCAACCCAUCUACUCAACAACCCUGUUCACGUAACAGUUUUUCGGUUCCGGCAGCACAAUUCGGUAUGUUUCAUCAAAGUAAAUAUUUUACAUUGUAUUUAACCUUAUAUCUUUUAUCAUUUCCUGUAAACGAUGACAUAAAUAACGAUGGUAGCCUCUUUACUAAUGGUAAGAAAUUUUACUGACAAAAUAUAUAAUUUUAUCCAUCACAAUGCUAUUUUACAUUAAUUAUUUGUAGCACCGAAAAAACAUAAAAUAUGCACUGAAUCGAAUACGACUAAUAAUGAGUUGAAAAUUCUAAUUGAGCAAUUCAGUGCAAAAUUACAAAAAAAAAAAAAGAUGACAAUUUCGCUAUCGUCAAUGAACGUAUUAACGUUUUAAGCAGUCGAGUAGAUUUUAUAGAUUCAAAAAUGGAUGUAGUCAUUAAAAAUUCUUCACGCGUUACAUCCCUUAUGGAUGAAGUUGUAGCGGCAACUCGUCGUCGGGAAGGCUUGUUUCCCAGGACUGAUUUUGAAAUCAGCCCAAUCGAUUCCGAAGAAGAUUUUUUUAAAUUUAAUGAAGAACUUAACGAUCCUGAAUUUAAUAGCAAAGUAGUUAGAUGGAUGCAAGUGCAAAUCACGCGUGCAGAUGUGGAUAAUCGUCUGCACGACGCGAUUGAUUUGCUGUUUUCAAAACCUUUUUUUGCAACAUUAAAUUGGAGUGGUAUCAGCAAAACUGCAGGUGUUAAAAAAUUAGGUUUAGUUAAUUUUCAAAACUUUUUAGAUUUAUUUAUUAAAAUAGGUAGCAAUAACAAUUUAAAAUCCAAUCCAAAUUACAUUUCUUUCUUUUUAAAAAAUAAGUUGAGGAAUGCUACGGACCGUGUUAAUAUACAAAGCACUAAACGCACAUCGUGCCACACAGUGAAACGUUCGUAGUAUUCCUCAAAUUUA